UGAGCAAUCUGCCCUUCUCAUCGGAAUAAGCGUUGGAAACGACGUCUAAUGCCGAAUACGACCUCCUUUCGCAUGAUCGGAGGUGGAAAGCUCCGGCGGAGAAGGAUGAGCUCGCGGCCUAUCAGCUAGUUGGUGUGGGUAAUGGCCCACCAAGGCGACGACGGGUAGCCGGCCUGAGAGGGUGACCCGGCCACACGUGGGACUGAGACACCGGCCCAGACUCCGUACGGGAGCAG
rnacentral:rRNA from 1 species